UUAAUAAAUAAUAUGAUAAAAAAUGAUAUUAUUUUAUCAUUUUUGGAUUGUAUACUUCUUUAUCUGUAAAUUAUUGUUUUGUGAAUUAAAUCUGUGAAUUAUUAAUUCUUGUUUAGAUCCAGCUAAAUAUUAUGCUGAUUUUUUAAGAUUCUUAUAAUCUACACUAUGACUACCAAAUAGUAAGACUACCAAUGUUCCAUCCUCAACUAUAUUGAGUGUUCCAUCUACAUGUGCUAUAAAUGUUACAAGUGUUAACCAAGUUGUAGCAGCUGCUACAAGUGUCCCACAACCUCCUCAACAUGCUCCACAACUUUCUGCUGGUAAAUUUAUGAUUUAGAAUUGUUUCUGAAUAAUUAUUUAAUUCAUAAUACUUUUAUUUUUAUACACUAAUUAAUACAUUAAACAAUUCAAAGUGCAGUAUAAGUAAAAUCCAGUGCAGUGUUUAAAUUUUUACUUCAAUUGACAUUUAUUAUACUUUUAUUGAUUUAUUAGUCGUUCAUUCUAUUUAUUUUGAUAUAUUGAUAUAGAGAUUAGCACCCUGGACCAACUAGCAAUUGGCCACUUUUGAGAUGAGUCCGGUUAAGAGGGAAUGAUGGUGAAUCAUUCAGCUGGGCCUAUCAUCCUCCUAAAAGGGGUGCUGGGAGCAGAAGGGGAUAUCACCGUGGAGGAGAGCGUGGUUUAUUUAUAUAUAUAUUUUGUAUUUUCAAACUUUUUAAAAUAUAAGUUUUAAAACUUUGGCCAAUUUUUAGGGUGGAUACUCCAACCUGCAUCUUGUAAUGUGGUAAGAUUUGUAAAGUUAUGUCUCUCUUUUUACACAAUUUAAAGAACCCUUUAAUCUAAAAUAGACCACUAAUAUUUGGAAAUGGAGUCGAAGCAAAUUAGAACAACUUUUUGUGUGUAGAGAUAACAGAUUUUUUCAGAAAAACACUCUUUCUUGUGAAAAACCUGUAUAUUUUUAAGGUUACGUUAGUGUUCCAAUACCCCUUUGGCCCUUUAGACACCCCUUUUAUCUAUAGAGUUAUAUGAACUUAUAGCCUACUCUUACAUCUAUCUUUUGAUACCAAGGUAUAAAGAUUUGGCUAAGAUUUGGCAAAGUUAUAACAAUUUCAGUAAAAAAAAAAAAAAAACUUUGGAACCAGUUUCUUCAAGAAAUCUUGAAAUUUGCUACGAAAAACUUUUUUUAAAAUUGUUUGUUUUUAAUAUUUUUUUCACCAUUUUUCACUUUAUUGAAGGGCUUUCUAAUGAUAUAUAAUAUUCUAGUAAAUGCUCAAUUAAAAGAAAUCAGUCCACGUACCUAUAGUUACAAAUAAUAAUUUUAGUUAAAUAGGUAUUUAUCAAUUUAUAUUAUUUGAAAUUUUUUUUACAGUUAUGUUUAAUUUUUGUUAUUACUUAGAUAAUAUUUUUGUUAUUACUUAGAUAAUAUUUUUCUUAGAUAAUACAUUUCUUUACAAUUAUGUUUAAUCUUUGUUAUUACUUAGAUAAUAUAUUAUCUAAGUUAUCUCUAUAAUGAAUAGCCGAAUGAAUAUUAUUAUUAGUGCGCAUAGUUACGCGUAUUGUUUUAUAGUUACGCUACGGUUCUGUAUCUGUAAAAUACACUUUUCAAGACUUUCCUUUACCGCGUGCUUUUUUAAAGAUUUCCUUUCAACCUUUCAUGGUACGAGUUUAAAAUGUCCAAGUUGACAUUAAGUAGAUA
rnacentral:lncRNA from 1 species